AUCCUAUAAAAACAAAACUAAUAAAAAGUUGGUUCUACUUUUAAUCAUAGUUAAAUUAUGACUGCCACAUGUAAGCUAAAAGCACCCCAGCAAAUAUAAAUCUACUAAUAAAAAAAAAUAUAAUUAACAAGAAAAAGAAACCUCCUAAUCUAAAAAAAAAUUGCGUUCAUCAGUGCUUAACAUUAUUAAAUCUAAGAAAUUAGGAAAUAGUCAAUAAUCCAAAAAGGUGGUAAAAAACGUGCCAGCAACCGCGGUUACACGUUAAACCUUAAAUUAUCAUAAACCGGUAAAAGAAGAAAAGAUAAAUAAAAAAGAUAGUAAAACCAAAAAAGCAGUAACAAGCUAAAACAAAAAAAUUACUAGCUACAUAUCCAAUCUUUAAAAAAACUAAUAAACUGGGAUUAGAUACCCCACUAUACCUUAAAAAAUAACUAACAACACCAGAGCAGUAUAAAUCUUUGAAACUCAAAGAACUUGGCGGUUUUCUAAAUCUCCUUGGAGGAGCUUGUUCUCAAAUUGAUAACCCACAAGUCACCUUACCUGUUUUAGACAAAACUACAGCCUGUAUAUUUUCGUCGUCAGCUAACCUUUAAGAACGUUAGCCAAAAGAAAAAUUUCAAAACGCCAGAUCAAGACGCAGCCAAUAAACAGGGGAACUAUGAGCUACUCUACUUUAAAACAGAGGAAAUUUACAUGAAAAAUAAAAAGAAAAAGGAUUCAAUAGUAAUUUUCUAAAGAAAUAUUAAAUGAAAAACGCUCUAGAAUACGUACACAUCGCCCGUCACUCUCCUCAAAAGAAGAGAAAAGUCGUAACAAAGUAGGUGUACCGGAAGGUGUACCUAGAUAA
rnacentral:ncRNA from 1 species